AGUGAAUCUGGCAGAAAAGGCAGGGAGCAGAGCAGAACUGCUAAGUAGGUUUGUUGUGGCUUAACACGUGUCUCCUACAGAAGGGAAACCUUCAGUGCUGGGCAAAUGAGAGUCUACAGAGCACUGCAGGAAGAGGUAGAGCCAGCUUCACGUGGAAACACCUCACCAAGGAUGUGAUCCAAAGAAGCAUGGGAAAAUACAGACUGCUGGAGACAACUGGAUAAUUCCUAACCUGAAUUGCCUAGGAAAAAACGGACUUACAUAUCAGGUAUGACUAUGUCUGGAUGGCAUGGGGGAUGAUUUUCAAACCUCAUUCACCUGAUGAAUGUAGAAGGGAAGCCAUGGGAAGUGAGGACAUCCCACCAGAAAGAAGCUGCCUGCUUACUGGCUCUAAAUAAACCCUGGACCACCUUCUAGCCUAUCUGGCAUCACCUCAUUGUGCCAGGGUGACAGGACAGCAGCAAUCUCCUCUGAUGCUGGACUCAGCGGUCUGUGGCUUUGAUGUUUCGCUACAGCGUAAGCAAAUGGAGGAUUCUUUGUGUGCAAGUCUGGAGCUGUGUACACAUGUGUAUGAGCUCUCCAAAAGCAAACAACUCACCUCUAUAAAGCCAAAUUCCAAUUGACAGAUUCUGAGACACGGUGCCUGGUCUCCAGAGGAUUUACAAAGAUGAACUUGAGCCUCUGCAGCAGUGAUUUUCACGUUGCUGAUGCUGGGGAUCCAGGAACUACUGAGAAAAGACACAUAAAAGACACAUAAAAGGAAGUAACCCCUUGCUGUAGUACAACUGUCUCUGGGGUGAAGCACUUUUGGAUAACUCCAGCACAGAAGAAAAUCUGUAGAAGAAGACCUGCACCUUAGAGAAAGAGCAAAAUCGGGAAAGAAGAAUUGGAUGGAGAGGAAGAAUUUGACUUGGGAGGGAAUUCUUCAGAAAGUACCACGAGAUCUUCAAGAAGUGAGCCAAAUCAGAGCUCACAUUUCUUGGGAAUUGCCUGAAUUACAUGAGUGAGCUUUAAGGAGAGCUGUAAAGAAAGAAUAAAAUGACUUGCAAGGCACAUCAGCCUUGGAAAUAGAAGCAGUUUACAACUGGUUUUGUCUUUGACGAGUGAUAUCCAACGCUGAUGUACAAUUACUUGCUGUUGCAGUUGUUUUGUGGUAUCUGAAACACAAAGCCUUCACUGUAACUGGUUAAAGAGUAAAACAAGAGAAUGCAGCAAUUUCUAUAUUAACCAUUAGCUCAGCAGCAGAGUGUUCUCAGGUUGUUUUGAGAGAAUGAAAAAAAAAAGGAUUUUAAAAAUAAUAGUUUAAACUUUUGCCUCAGGGGCUGGAAGCCUAUUUUUCAGGCUGUUUAACUUUUGUCAUUCUCAGUGCAACUGUUCAAGUUAGGUUCAGACAGUGAAAUAAAUAGGAAAUAUUGUCCAAGGGUCAUUGGCUUUGUCAGAAAGGACUUUGAAAGAAGUGGAGGAAAAGAACAAGGCAGCCUGAUUCAUGAAGGCAGACAAGUCUUUUUGGUGACAUGAAAUCAAAACUGCAGGAGGUUAAGUUCGUUCAAUUAUCACAAACAACCCAGUGUACAGAAAAAUGCAGAAUGUGGUGGUACUGGAUUAAAAGUUCAAGAUAAGAUGUAAUGUGACCUUCCCCAGGUUUAAAUUCAAAUUUCAUCAAAGGAAAAAGAAUGCCAACUACAUCUGGGAAACAGGUUCAGAGAGGGAAGAAAGAAAAGCUUAUUUGCUGCAGUAUAGAAUGGCAAAGCAGUCAAAGUGUUUGCUGUAACAGAUGUGCUGACUGUAUCCUACGGGCUAUACAUUAAGAUCUUUAUGGCUCUUCAUGGUACAAGAUGUUACUGUUGAUUCUAGAGCUCUAAAUGAAGGGAGAGCUUGGACAUUCUUGCAUGACUUAACAGAACACCUCUUCUCAGGCACGACUUUGAGCAAUUCUGCCCUAAUAACUCCUGUUUGAGACAAAAUUCUGGAUGCUUUAUUCCUUUUCUCAGUGUACUAUCAUCUAGAUCAUGGAAGCAUCUUUGUUUUCAGAUUCCUUUCUGUUCCAGUCUCCUCUCUACUAUUUUCCUAAGAGAAACCUGCAUCAUGGCAGUGAUGUAAUACAUUACAUGUAUGACUAUGACCAUGGCAAGCUGUAAUAGCAUCUCCUCAUCUUUUGAAGUCUUGCCUCAUCCCCUGCUGCCCAUGGUUUGGUCCCUAGAGGUUUCAGAAAGCCUUUUCAACCUCUGUGUUUGCAGUAGAUAAGAAGCAGGGGAUAACUCAUGCACCAGCCACUCACAGAUGCUGAUGAUUCUUGUACAGGUGUCCUACAUGUCCUAAACCACCAACUGACCAACCACCUCUCUGCCUGAAAAUGAGCAAGGCAAAGCAACAUCACACAAGCUGGGACUUCUCUAGAGCUAUUCCUGUCUUUUCUCUCUAGAUAUUCUGGCCCAAUGUGGUCCCAAGGCUUCUGGCAAGGCAGCUUCAUUUCUCCUUGUCUUUCCACAGCCUUGCCUUUCUAGAUGUAUGUCAAUGACUGCCUGGUAGAGUAAGGGACCCAUCCUUGGCACAGAUGAACACAGGCAAGGGAUGAGCUACUAAUUUAAUACGGUGGUCAAGGAGGAUAAUUUUGGAUACCAGCUCUUUUCCAGCAAUGGGUUGACAUGACUUCCCAUGUGCAGUCUGUUUCCUUUUCUACUCCCAGUAGUUUAAUUCUUUCUCUCAGUCACGUCCUUUCCUAAAUAGUCUCUAAUACCUGGUAUUUAAUCACAUGGUUUUCCCCUAUAUCCUCUCUGUGCACGAAUUAAACUGUUAUCAACAGGAGGAGCUUAUCUCUGCACCUUUAUUGAAUCUGGAUUUUGCUAAUGCAUCCAUUACCCUUUUAUCGCAGAAAACAAUUAACAGAUGUGUUUGUUCAUUUAAGAAUCAGUUUAUCUUGGUUAAGUGUUUGUAUCUCUCAGCACAAAGCCUUGCACAGCACACCUCUGUGUAUGUCCAGAGUCAUUCUAGAACACGUAGAUCAUCUUUCAGAUCAAGCAGGAAAGGAAUUCCUGUAAGUGAGUUCCUUUAAAACAAAAAUCUUUACAUCACAAAGAGAUAUUGCUAUCACUGGGGAUUUGUCUCUAACACUUAAAUUCAAAAAUGUCUAAAAUCAGCAUGGAAAUACACAGACAGAAGAGACUUAGUAAACUUUUUUUGUCUAAUUUGCACCUCUAGGAUAUUUUGUGGAAAGUGAAAUACACUUUACAGCUCUCUCUGGCAUGCACUGUAGCUACGAGCAACACUUCUGAGUAUCCUAAUAAUGAUGGUAAUAAUAAUGAUGGCCACUGCUUCCUACCUAUUUGCUGUAGAAAAUGAACUGACUACAACAGGAUGUACCGAGUUAGAUUUAUUCCUAGAUUUAUCCCCCUUCUCUCUCAGAGGUAAAAUAGGUCAAUAUUCUAUUAUAGUUCAAACAUUAUUAACUUUCUUUCCCCAUAUAUUUUGAUAUUCCAGCAAAAAAGUCCUAUGAAAAUGAAAAUCAUACUUCAGAAAAAUGACUCAUCUCAGGUGUAAUUUUACAAGUAUCCUCAAUCCAUAUUUUCCAUCUUUUUCCCUGUGGCUCCUCUGUGUGUGUCAUUUUCUUUCUCAACAGAAAGAAAAAAGAAAACAAAAACUGAAAAUAGAAGAAAAUGAAGCAGAUCCCAGUGCUGGUUAUUUCUAUUGGCAAAACAAAACCCUACCACAAUGUCUUUCCCAAAACAAAAUAAAUGUUGAUGUUGUUAUUUAUUGUAACAGCAGCUCCUUUUUGACAAGUGCUGCCCUGGAAAGAGGUGCUUUUCCUGGAGUUGUGUUGGAAGCCAUGAAAUCCAACAUUUUAGUCCUUUCUGUGAGAGAAGAAAAGAAAACAUCAAACUGCCAGCAUGCGAGGGUAUUUUAUGGGUAGAGCAAACCUCUUAGUAAGCAGCCACAUAUAUUAAAGCAGAACUACUAUAAAUGUCUCAUCCAUUUAUUCUGAUGACUCUAACAGAGAGCGUUCACUGCUUUAUGCCGCCUUCUCUGACAGAAGAGAAACUGCAGGAAGGGAAAAAAACCAUUCUUCCCUCUGUGUCCAAGGUUCAGGCAAUCUGUAGGAAAGAAUGAAAAGGACACAGAGAAAUGAGUAUCUAGUUUCAGCAAGGUCUGAAUCAUUCUCUGCGACAUUUUGGAUGAUUCAGCAUGUUUCCUGGCUUGCUUUUUUUUUUUUUUCCCCUUUUUUCAUUAAAAAGAGUGUUUCUGUGAAAAUGAACUCUCAAGUUGCUGAGCUUAUUCGUGCCUUUCAUUUCUUUCUCUGCUGUACCUGCAUCUGUAGGCCUAUUUUUCCCUCUUGUUGACUCUCAGAUAAAUCGGGUGUAGGCGUGUUGGGGAUCCAGUUCUGGAGAAACGCUGCUGUGAAAGUUGGCUGAGUAGAGAUACAUCAUUUACCGGGUGUUACAUGUACCCAACUCACUGCAGAGAUCACAGUCUGGGCAUAAGUAACACAAGUCGGAAAAUCCCUAAGAAACACAGCAGCUUUUUAGAUGAAAUGGUUGCACUUGGGGGUUAAUGGCCAGGGCAAUGAAAAAAUAGGGAAACAAAUACAAUCACGAACAAGAAUUCCUUCAAAGGAACAGCUUUUCUUCUUUCCCCAACCUAAGUAUGGAAAUCUAGUGCUCCUCACUGGAAAAUAAAGCUGCAAAUGCAUUAC